rnacentral:tRNA from 1 species
GGGGGCGUAGCUCAGUGGCAGAGCAGUUGGCUCUUAACCAAUUGGUCGUGAGUUCGAAUCUCACCGCCCUCACCA